GGAGAGGUAGCUCAGUGGUUAAGGGCACUGUUGCUCUUCAGAGAACCUGGGUUCAAUUCCCAGCACAUCUU
rnacentral:tRNA from 1 species